UAUAGAGGAUAUGCAGGCAAAAACUCUGUAAUCUGGUCAGGUCAGAAAUGAAGCAGCCACGUCAGAUUAUUUUUGGGUUGCAUAUCCAUUUGUUAUU
rnacentral:SRP_RNA from 1 species